rnacentral:rRNA from 1 species
AACGUAGGGGGCGAGCGUUGCCCGGAUUCACUGGGCGUAAAGCGGGUGUAGGCGGUCCAUUAAGUCGGAUGUGAAAUCUCACGGCCCAACCGUGGAAUUGCAUCCGAUACUGGUGGACUUGAGGACGGUAGAGGCCGGUGGAAUUCCCGGUGUACCGGUGAAAUGGGCAGAUAUCGGGAGGAACACCAGUGGCGAAGGCGGCCGGCUGGGCCGAUCCUGACGCUGAGACCCGAAAGCCA